GGGAAAGGCCAACCAGCCGAAAAUCCCUACCUUGUUUGUGAGGAUGUUCGCCAACAUGGGACCUGGGACACGGCCCAGACUCCUACGGGAGGCAGCAGGGGGGAAUCUUGGAGCAAUGGGGGCAAUCCUGAUCCAGCCACUGCCGCGUGGAUGAUGAAGACAUAGGGGUCGUAAAGCCCUUUCGCCGGGGAAGAUAAUGACGGUACCCGGUAAAGAAGCGCCGGCUAACUCCGUGCCAGCAGCCGCGGUAAUACGGAGGGGGCUAGCGUUGUUCGGAAUGACUGGGCGUAAAGCGCGCGUAGGCGGGCUGGGAAGUCAGUGGUGAAAGCCAGCAGCUCAACUGUUGAACUGCCAUUGAUACUGGGAAGCUUGAGUACAGACGAGGUAGGCGGAAUUGACGGUGUAGCGGUGAAAUGCAUAGAUAUCGUCAAGAACACCGAUUGCGAAGGCAGCUUACUAGACUGUAACUGACGCUGAGGCACGAAAGCGUGGGGAUCAAACAGGAUUAGAUACCGUGGUAGUCCACGCUGUAACCGAUGAUCACUCGAUGUGUGCGAUAUACAGUACGCGUCCAAGCGAAAGCGUUAAGUGAUCCACCUGGGGAGUACGGCCGCAAGGUUGCUGUCG
rnacentral:rRNA from 1 species